GCCCAGCCCACGCCUGGUGACGGACUGCCCUAUUAGCAUAGUUCCUCCCCUGAGUGAGCUGCACACAGUCCACCAUGUUCUCCACGCUGGAGCAGCUGUAGUAAAGAAGAAGAAUGUCUCAGCUUCGCACCUCGGUUCUUGGGAGCUGGAACCGGGGGAUAAUGGGGAGGGAAGAGAGAGUGAGAAAGCCAAGGAAUGCCUGGACUAGGAGCCGCCACCAAGUGAUCCUCCGGCAGCUGCACGGCUUCAUCCAGGGAUGUGGGCCGUUGGCCCUGGAUCCACGCUCCCGUUCCUAUCGGGAGUCAAGCGAUGAAUUGCUCCAGUACCACCAGCUCUUUGAUCUGUUCCACAUCUCACUCCACUUCCAUCAACCACCAGCGACAGAAGUAAAUGAUAAAUGGUCUACACUUAUAUAGAACCUUUUAACCUUAGCGGUUCGACAAAAAACUUUACACUGUUUCUCAUUCACCCAUUCAGAUACACACACGCACACACACACACACACACACACACCAAGGAGCUAGCCUGCCAUUGGGAGCAACAUGGGGUUCAGUGUUUUGUCCAAGGACACGUCAGCAUGUGGAGGCACAAUUGAACCGCCAACCCUGCGAUUAGAAGUCCCUCAGCUGCUGGGUGUACAUGAAGGGGCGGCUGACCAUGUGGGGCUGUAGCGACCGGAAGUGUCUGUGCUGCUCCUCAGGUGUCCGGCCAACUCUUGAUACUGAAAUACUCCAGCUGUGUCAUUGAUGGAAGCUGAGGUUAUCUCCCCGAUAGCAAGGGGAGGAGUCGCAAAGCCCAUUCCUCCUCCAGCCAUUACCACACAGAGGUCACAUGCUCAAAGUGCUCCAGGAAGGCCUCCAAAUAAUCCGGAGGCCAUUUUGGUGAGCAUCACAUGUGCCACAUGGGCAGGGGACACAGCUGGAAAUGUGCUGGGCUGCAGCAGUUUCUGGAGUGCCCACUGGCUCUCAGCCUGAUCCUGCAUGAGGGCUUCAAAGCACAGCUGCUGUUUGUUGUGCAGGGCAAGAAGUGCUUGACGUUGGGUUUUGUGGAGGAGGGUUCCAUGGCAGCACCUGAGCCUUCCCUGAUCAUGAGUUUCAGGACCACUGUAGUACCCUGGUGUGUGAGAGUGUGGAGGAAGACUCGGGAGGCAGGAUGGAAUUUUAGCUGAGCU